rnacentral:rRNA from 1 species
GACGAACGCUGGCGGCGUGCUUAACACAUGCAAGUCGAACGGACAGGCCCUGCUUUUGUUGGGUGCUCGUGUGGCGAACGGGUGCGUAACACGUGAGUAACCUGCCCUUGACUUUGGGAUAACUUCAGGAAACUGGGGCUAAUACAGGAUAGGAGCUCCUGCUGCAUGGUGGGGGUUGGAAAGUUUCGGCGGUUGGGGAUGGACUCGCGGCUUAUCCGCUUGUUGGGGGGGUAGGGGCUUACCAAGCGUUUGACGGGUAGCCGGCCUGAGAGGGUGAACGGCCACAUUGGGACUACGGUACGGCCCAGACUCCGACGGGAGGCAGCAGUGGGGAAUAUGGUACAAUGGGCGGAAGUCUGAGGCAGCAACGCCGCGUGCGGGAUAACGGCCUUCGGGUGGUAAACCGAUUUCGCCGGUGACGAAGCGGGAGUGACGGUAAUGGGUAAAGAAGCACCGGCUAACUACGUG